CGGCGGACGGGUGAGUAACACGUGGGUAACCUGCCUAUAAGACUGGGACAACUUCGGGAAACCGGAGCUAAUACCGGAUAAGAUAUCGAACCGCACGGUUCGAUAGUGAAAGAUGGUUUUGCUAUCACUUAUAGAUGGACCCGCGCCGUAUUAGCUAGUUGGUGAGGUAACGGCUCACCAAGGCAACGAUACGUAGCCGACCUGAGAGGGUGAUCGGCCACACUGGAACUGAGACACGGUCCAGACUCCUACGGGAGGCAGCAGCC
rnacentral:rRNA from 1 species